GAAGCCCCAGCUCUCUUGCCUUUUUGAAAAUCAUGUUCCAUGCCUUACAGUCAUUCAGAGUGGAGAUUGGAAGGUCUUGUGUGACCCUGAUUGGCAUUCCUUUAUAUCUAAAUUGUCUUUUUCUGGCUUCUUGUAAGAUUUUUUCUUUUGCUUGAAAGCUUUGGAAUUUGGCAAUUACAUUCCUGGGAGUUGUCUUUUGGGGAUUUAGUGUAGAGGUUGUUCUGUGAACUCUUUCAAUGCCUGGUUUGCCCCCUUGUUCUAGAAUCUCUGGGCAGUUUUCUUUAAUGAUAUCUUGUAUUAUGAUGUCAAGAUUAUUAUUUAUUUCUGGCUUUUCUUGUAGGCCAAUUAUUCUCAGAUUGUCUCUUCUUACACUAUUUUCCGGGUCUGUCACCUUGUCAGUGAGAUAUUUUAUGUUCUCUUCUAAUUUCUUAGUCUUUUGGCUUUGCUUUAUUAAUUCUUGCUCUUUUGCAAGAUCAUUGUCUUCCAGUUGCCUGAUUCUGACCUUUAAAGCCUGGUUUUCCUUUUCAGUUUGGUCAAGCUGUUUCUGUAGUUGCGUUUUUUCAUGCUUCAGAUUGCCGAGUUCCGUUUGGAUUGUUUCCCAUUUUUCCUCCCAGAAGGCUUCCAUUUUUUUUGAUAAUUUCUGAUUUAAAUUCUUCAAGAGUUUGUGGAGAAUUUCCAUUUCUUUUGGAAGGUUUCAGAGCAUUUGCUUGUGUUUCCUCUUCUAUCUCCUCUGUAUUUUGUAUUUUUACUCCAUAAAAUGUGUCCAAAGUCACCCCCUUCUUCUUGCUUUUCUUGGUGUUUGGAGGCUUUUGCACUUCUGUACUGUUUGCCAUCUCUAUCUGAGUGAGGAGGACUGACUCUUAGUGUAUUUGUCUGAUGGUCUGAGGCUUUAGCCCCUGGAAAAUUGUUCAUUCUCCGCAGCUGCUCUGUCUUCCUGGGGAAGUCCAGGGUCUGCCCUCCUCUGCCUGCCAGUGUUUUGGGUGUUACUGCUCUCAGUUCCCUCCAGUUGCUUCUCCUUUGCCUUACUUCCAUGCUCUGAGCCUGGCGCAGCACUGUCCGCAAGGUUCCUCAGUGCCUUUGCCGGCCCUGAGGUUUCUGUUCUUUCAAAGGACCUUGCACUCUAAGCGGGGAAGGGUCUUGGCCUCCCUGCGCUCUGAGGGCUCCUGAUAGAAUUAUGUUCAGCUGGGUUGGACUGAAUUUUCCCUGAAGCAGGAACCUUUGGUGAGACUCAGAUGAAAGGACCCAGCCAGGGGGCUACAGGCUCCCCCCGUCUCUCUCUGUUUCCCUGCCGUCUGUGUUGGGCGCCCCUGAGACUGGCUCAAGUUGCUUUCAAGGUUUCAGACCUCAUGAUGAACUCUUAUUCAAUAAAAGAAUUUAUACCUGCCUGAAGUUAAGCGAAUCCCAGUUGGUCCCCAGAUAUGUCAGUAUGGUAUAAAAGUUGUUAUCCAGGCACUACACCUUCUGUAUGUCUUGCUUUUAAAGACUUGUCCAGUGGUCUACAUUUUACUCCAGAAUCCACCUGGCCUGCCCAGCAUUGCUGUGUGUUGGGUUGUGUGUUGUCUUCGCAGGAGCAAGCUAGUCAUUGACUGGCACAAUUAUGGCUAUACCAUCAUGGGUCUGACACAUGGCUUUGCCCACCCUCUUGUACAGCUAGCUAAGUGGUAUGAAAAGCUCUGUGGCCGCCUGUCAGAUCUAAACUUGUGUGUGACCAAUGCAAUGAGAGAAGACUUGGCAAAGAACUGGAAUAUACGCACAGAACCCUUGGACUCAGCCUUUGAGAGAUCUGCAUUCAUGGUCCUUAGUACUAGGAGCAGGAACGUGCAACAACUUGAUGGGUGACUAGCUUUGCUGAAGUUGAAGAUUUCUCCAUCUUGCUGAAAGCUUUAGAAAGUAGGCAUGUUUCUAUGAUCAUGGCUGUCAAUUUGUCUAGGACUGUUUAAACAAUACUAUUCUUGGCUCCUUUUCCAUCACUUUACCCAUUGGUGGUAGCUGUUGAAAGCUGGGCUGGUGACCAAGUCAGGUGUGGACAGAACCACCUCUCUCUUUGUCUUAUCGAGCUGCUGGGCUCUGGAUCUUUGAAGUCACUUCAGGAGCUAGAAUCUCAGAGUCAAACAAGCUGAGUCAUAGGCUUGAAAUCAAGUAAAUAUUCCUGUUUCUCCUCUUCAGUGGUUCUGACUCAGUGUGACCUAAUGCAUGUGAUCCCAUCAGUCAUGGUCAGUAACGGGCUGGCGAUCAGGGUUGGCAUUUUGGCUUCUUAACUUCGGAGCCUGACUCUUCCUUUUUCCUACUGACACAUUCUUCUUGCUUUUGUAUCAACAGAACUCCAUUGCUGUCUGUUGAGAUUUUCCCCAAACCCAGUUUGUUCCUCAUAUCUUUCUAGGCUCCUUUCCUUCUCAGGAAAGGGAAGAUUUAAGAGGUGAAGAAACAGGAUUGAAAUUUAAGGUUCUUCUAAACUGUAUUUGCUCUGGUUGGUUGGGGGUCAAUGUUUCAUUCAUCCCUUUUUGCUUCGAAUCCCCAAUUAUGCUUGUUGAUUUUAUAGAGUUUGAUCAUUGGUCACUGAUAGAUCAAACCUACCUUCUCUCCUCUGUUUGAUAACAGGUGCCUUUUGUUUCCUUAUGUCCUUAUCCCUGGGUAUAGUACAUGUCAGUCAGGCAGCAUUUAAAAUUGCAUACUAGACAACCAGGGAAGCUAUUUUGAAUGCUGUUUCAAAGAGUUCAUCUUCUGGGUUUUUAAGAGGGAUCAGUUGUUUGUUCUGUUAGAUGCCUGGCCAAUCUGUAAAGUGCACCCAUUCUGAUUCAUGAUAGUGAGAUGGGGGGAAUAGGGAGCUGGCUUAACUAGUGACUCAGCCUCUUGAAUUUCUUGGACUUUUGAAUAUAUUUAUGAAUUGGACUGAGAAAGGAUUCUGGCUUAGAAUGUAAAAGGGAGGCCCAUGGAAUGAUAGAUUUCCCCAAGAGGGACUGCUUUAUUUCCCAUAUAGGAAUGCUAAAUGAAGGUUGAAGGUAGCUAAAGUUUUGGCAUAUAUUUGCAAGCAAUUGGAAGAGGCUGAAGACCAAUGACUUUUCAUUUUUCUGUUCACCAAAGGUAAAGGGCCUAUUUGAGGGCAUUAUGGGACAAGUAAUUUGCCAGAUGUGCCUGAAGCAUGUUCAGACCUGUACAGCAUGGUUGGAAGCUGGAGGCUAACAGAGAUUUUCCAAAACUCUGUUGAGGGAGAAUAGACCAUUUAGAAAAAUUUUGGGAAGAGGUGCCCCAGGUUUGGGGCAAUGACUGAAGUUGAGUAAAAUGGGGCUUCUGAAAGUCCUGGAUGGGACGCCCUAGAUGGAGGCACAAUUUUGUCCUCUUUCCUCCUUUUCCUGAAAUCCCUUUGCAGUCUGCUAAUAAGGAAGAGUGCUUUUUCUCUUUUCCUUGAUCCUUUAAUUCUGGCACAGUAGGAUUUUACUCUUUUUCUUUUUAAACCCUGGAUUCUUUAUCAUCUAAUUUGGAAGGAAAUUUCAGUGCUAUGU